GGCCUUGAGCACAAUUAGUCAUGGCAACCUGACACAGAAUUAAGAACACAGAUGGCCUCUGUCCCCAGAGAGCUUACAAUCCAAGAUCGACUGAGCUCAACCCAGAUGACUAUUCAUGAUUUAUGCUUCAGCACCUGCAUCUGUACAAGCACUGCUCAGAGAAUGUACUGGAAAAUCCAAUCAUGUAGAGCAAGAAUGUAAAAGUAUGAAGCCCAGAUCCACACAGCAUCAUGGAUUAAGUGAAAUUGAAAGUUGAUUGAAUGUUCCAACAAAGUUUUGUGGAUUUAAAAAAAAACACAACAGCAGGGCUUAUUCUUA